rnacentral:piRNA from 1 species
UCCACCCUCGACCUGAAAUUUCUAGAGAC